AGCUCCAAUAGCGUAUAUUAAAGUUGUUGCAGUUAAAAAGCUCGUAGUCGAAUUUUUGGUGAUAGCGGCUGGUUAGUCUCAUAGACUAUACUAGUUGCUUGAUCCUUUUUCCUGGGAUAGUACCUCUGGUGCGAUUUCAGGUGUUUACUUUGAAGAAAUUAGAGUGUUUAAGGCAGGCAUUUGCUUGAAUACAUUAGCAUGGAAUAAUAGAAUAAGACUUUUGGUUUUAUUUUGUUGGUUUUAAGAACCAAAGUAAUGAUUAAUAGGGAUAGUUGGGGGCAUUAGUAUUUAGAAGUCAGAGGUGAAAUUCUUGGAUUUUCUAAAGACUAACUACUGCGAAAGCAUUUGCCAAGGAUGUUUUCA
rnacentral:rRNA from 1 species